GGUAGAAUGGCUGAGAUAUAGGCAAUAAAUUGUAAAUUUAUUUACGAAUAAUAUUCUUCUACCA
rnacentral:tRNA from 1 species